rnacentral:rRNA from 1 species
GAUGAACGCUGGCGGCGUGCUUAACACAUGCAAGUCGAACGAUGAAGCCCAGCUUGCUGGGUGGUUUAGUGGCGAACGGGUGAGGAACACGUGAGUAACCUGCACUUGACUCUGGGAUAAGCCUGGGAAACUGGGUCUAAUACUGGAUAUGACUUCUCAUCGCAUGGAGGGGGGGGGAAAGAUUUAUUGGGCUUGGAUGGACGCGCGGCCUAUCAGCUUGUUGGUGGGGUAAUGGCUCACCAAGGCGACGACUGGUAGCCGGCCUUAGAGGGGGACCGGCCACACUGGGACUGAGAGACGGCCCAGACUCCUACGGUAGGCAGCAGUGGGGAAUAUUGCACAGUGGGCGCAAGCCUGAUGCAGCGACGCCGCGUGAGGGAUGACGGCCUUCGGGUUGUAAACCGCUUUCAGUAGGGAAGAAGCGAGAGUGACGGUACCUGCAGAAGAAGCGCCGGCUAACUACGUG